UGCCACAGCCAUAUCACCCUGCAGCCUAAGACCGGUUACUCACUGAAGCUAAGCAGGGCUCAGCCUGGUCAGUACCUAGAUGGGAGACCUCUAGGGAACACUAGGUUGCUGUUGGAA
rnacentral:rRNA from 1 species